rnacentral:rRNA from 1 species
CAUGUAGGCGGACAGGUAAGUCAGUGUUGAAAUCCCUCGGCUCAACCGAGGAAUUGGCACUGAAACUAUUUGUCUUGAGGAUAGCAGGGGGGUGUGGAACUUCUGGUGGAGCGGUGAAAUGCGUAGAUAUCAGAAGGAACACCGGUGGCGAAGGCGAUGCCCUGGGCUAUUCCUGACGCUGAGGCCCGAAAGCGUGGGGAGCAAACAGGAUUAGAUACCCUGGUAGUCC